GAAUGCUGACAUAAGUAACGAUAAAGCGGGUGAAAAGCCCGCUCGCCGGAAGACCAAGGGUUCCUGUCCAACGUUAAUCGGGGCAGGGUGAGUCGACCCCUAAGGCGAGGCCGAAAGGCGUAGUCGAUGGGAAACGGGUUAAUAUUCCCGUACUUGGUGUUACUGCGAAGGGGGGACGGAGAAGGCUAUGUUGGCCGGGCGACGGUUGUCCCGGUUUAAGCGUGUAGGUGUGUGUUCCAGGUAAAUCCGGUUCACUUUAACACUGAGGCGUGACGACGAGGCACUACGGUGCUGAAGCAACAAAUGCCCUGCUUCCAGGAAAAGCCUCU
rnacentral:rRNA from 3 species